UUUCUCUACAUAUACAGUCAAGGCUGGCGUUUUUUCACAAGCAGCUUUUGGUUACCUUCCUUUGGAAUAUUGGUGCCCCUUUUUAAAGAAGUGUUUGGCAUAUUGGUGGGAUAGUUAUUCCCUUGGAGAAUUUGUUCUGCUUUGAAUUUCUUGGAAGGCUACAGUGAUAUCUUGGGAGAGUCAGGUUUGGCUGCCAUCCAUCACAGUAGUUUCUGAAGUACAGAAAUGAAAACACAUUCUGGAGUCCCCCCCACAAAAAAAUUAUAGUGAUAUAUAGAAUUCAUUGAACUGACAUACAGAAUUUGACCUGUUUCGCUUUCUGUUUAUAUACAGGUUUCAUAUUGGUUGUUUAAUUCUAUUGAGACAGUUUUGGAUUGGCUUGUGUUCCUUUGUUGCCUUUGAUACACAAGCUUCAUAUUGUUUGUGUGCCAUAUGCAUUUGUAUCAUAUUGUUUGUGGUUUGAUUUUUUGUAUUUAAUUGUAUAUGUACUUUAUUAUUAACUCAUUAUUCUCAUUAUCUAUUGUUCCAUGACAUGGUUAUUCUGCAUGUUCUAUGGAAGACCUCUUCUUUCAUUUAUAAUUUUGCACACAAUAUUACCUGACAGUAAAAUGGUACUGGUGGUCAAGAUUAUCCAUAGUGUUGGGCAUCUGGAGAAAUGAUAUGUUUUGGUCAUGAGAGACAUCAAAGAAUAAUUAAAGAACCCACAUUCACACCAAGAUCCACAUUCACAUCUCUGUAUACAGCACUGUCUAUCAGUUAUGUGGCGUUCAGUACUACUGUAUACAGUAUGUUUUAAUUUUUGUACAUCUGUGUGAAUUUCAUCAGCUUUUUCUAAGUAUCACUUCAGCAUUUGUUUAUUGUUCCCCAUAUUUCAUAAAUUGUACAUUUAUGCACACCAUA